AGACAAAACCUGCUCCCCGGAGCAGCCGGCAGAAACUCUCUUCCCAGAGAACAGUCCCUGUUCAAUGUUGCUAUUGACUCUCCCAGGCUGGCCAGCCUACAAUAGCUGAACUGAACGGUGAUCGAUUUCCUUGUGGAAAAACGCUCCAGAUGCAUUUAUUAGGGGCUUCAGCUUCGUCCUGCUUGCAGGGAAAAUGAGGUCUAAGACCAGAUUCGCCCACCUUGAGGGCACCGUUUUGUGAAAUCCCCGAGCUUGAAAUACUUUUAAUAAGAAGAGACGGGACGGGGCAAGGAGAGAGGCUCCGCGGAGCCGGCACGGACCCAGCCCGCAGCCGGGCUCCCCGGGGAGCGCUCCCGCCUGCCGUGGGGGAUGCCCCCGCGCCCCCCGGGCACAGGCUGCUGCUCUGCUCUGCCCAGCCCUGCCUGCCCUGCCUGCCCUGCC